GGGGAAGCCACAGCUGCAGCAGGGAGGCUGCCUGGUGGCAAGGAGCUGCUGGGCUGGAGGUCUCUGAUGACAGACGAGUGGAGCCCCGCAGGAGCCUCUCCUCUCCAGCCACCUGCAAGAGAAAGGAAGAUGCAUGGGUGCCCGAAUGCCCAUUCUGGCCAGGGGAGAUCCACACCCAUGGAGUCAUCACCAGCCAAAGACUUGACGUGGUGACCUCUCCAGGUGGAGAUGUCCCCAAGUAUUGGAGGUAUCUCCAUGGCAUCAGCAGGCAUUUCACCAAGCAGCAGCUGGGACGCAGGCCUCAUGAUCAGAUCAGCUUCUCAGCCCAGAUUUGAGUAAAUCUGAUGCUCAGCUUUCUGAAUUCCAGCUAGUGCCUUAAAGGCUGUCUUCUGCCCAGCAGGGUGAGAUACGGAUCUCUUUCAGAGCCUGCAAGAAUUUUAUACACACAUAACUCCCUGCCCAGGUUGGAAAGCCUGUUUCAUUAUGAGUCCUUCUGCAUAAGAGCCCAGGAAGAAGAACCAUCAUCUCCUUUCGCUCCAGGAACAAAACUCUGCAAAUCUUUCUCAUCGUCUAUUACAGCAGCAUAUCUGCAAUGGCCUGGCAUGGGCCAAAAUCUGUAUACACUUACACUUUUCCCCAGAUAUCUUACAUUUCUGAUUUAGAUUCCUCCUGCCAUGCCCUUUUUUUUUUUUUUUUUUUUUUUUUUUUUUUUU